GACAGAGGAUGCAAGCGUUGUCCGGAAUCAUUGGGCGUAAAGAGCGUGUAGGCGGCUCGAUAAGUCCGCUCUGAAGGCCCGGGGCUCAACCCCGGGAGGCGGGCGGAUACUGUCGAGCUAGAGUCCGGAAGAGGCGAGUGGAAUUCCUGGUGUAGCGGUGAAAUGCGCAGAUAUCAGGAGGAACACCAAUGGCGAAGGCAGCUCGCUGGGACGGUACUGACGCUGAGACGCGAAAGCGUGGGGAGCAAACAGG
rnacentral:rRNA from 1 species